GGAAAAGCUGUGAGAAACAGCUCUGGGAGCAGCCAAGCCAGAGAAUGACACAGGGAAGGAGGUGCUGGAGCAGAUCCUGGUUUCACCUCAGUGUUGUGAGGAGGGGGAGUGUGAGCAGCCAACCCACCACAGCAACAGUUCAAAAGCUCAGUGGCUGAAUAAUUAUACCCCAACCUGCCACCAUUAAAUAAGCAUUAAAGGGCUAUACAUACUGCUCUGGGGAAAAGAGAGUUCCAGAAAAAAGGCCUAAUUAUACUGAAAGAUUCACAAGAUGGUCCCCCAAAUGAAAAACACCAUAUGUGGCAUCUUACAUACUAAGCAAGUCAAGAAGCAAAUUCCUACAGUAUGAAACACCAUCACUGC